GAGGGACACAGUUCAGAGCGUUUGGGGGGAUCCAGUGGGCAGGAGUUUGUGGCUGGGCCGGUGGAAGCUGCUGUGUGGGUUGUGGGGGAUGGGAGCCAGUUAGGCUUGGACACUGGGUGCUUGUGAUUCCGUGGGACGCUGACGUGGACGGGCCCAGCUGGCAGUUGUUCAUGUCCGCCUGGAGUUUAUGGGCGUUGGUUGGGCUCCUAAGAGGAUUUUGAGCAAAAGGUGCGGGGGAAAUACGGAAGACAGUGCUGACCUCCUUCUGAGAUGUCAGGGGACAGAUAGCCCUGACAGAGAAACCUUUAUGGCCUCGCUCAGGUUCACCAGGAAGAGGAUUCAGAUGAGGGCCCUACAGGUGCAGGUGGGCCCAUCGUAGUCUCCCCUCCCCACCAGCCCCCUGUAUUACAUUUAAUGUGCGUUUCAGGCCAGCGUGGGAGGCGCUGUCUAUACAACCCAGCACAGUCUUUUGAGGUUUUGUUAGAGGUGCUUUUUCCUAAGUCUAUUUAUUUUGAGAGAGAAAGAGUGUGUGCACGUGCUGGUGUUGGGGAGGGGCAGAGAGAGAAUCCCAAGCAGGCUCCAUGCUGUCAGCACAGAGCCCGAUGCGGGGCUCGAACUUGCAAAACGGUGAGAUCACGGCCUGAGCUGAAACUGAAGCAGACUGAACCGCCCAGGCACCCUGGUAGAGGUGCUAUGUUAAUACUGCACUAGGUCGUGGAUCCUGAGGAACAUCACAGGGCCAGAGCUUAGCUUUGGCGCCAGGAACUUGAAGAGAAACUGCAGUCCUUCCCCAGUUAACUCCUUCCGUGCUGAGCCAGCCCGGGAUUCUGGCCGAGGCUGAGUCCUGGGGCCGUGUGAUGUUGAGGAAUGUGACAGAAGACGGUGUCUGUACUCCAGGUCUACUUUGAGCCCGGGCUGGGAAUAUUACAGUGACGUCUAUCAUAACCAGCUUAUGGCUUUGACUGGGGACACAGGAACGCAUGCAGCAGUCACCUCUCCUUUCCUGAGCUGCCGAGUUGAACCUUGAUAGCUUGAUUUUCCACACCGUUGGCAUGAGGAAAUAUGAGAGGCUACUCUAAACAGGCUUUUGAAUCGUUGAUGCUGGAUCUUGAGAUGAAACUUUUGGUCACCCCACUUCUUCCUGCUCAGCCUCAACCCGUCUCUGCAGCUGGCGUGAUCGUGGACACAUCACUGACCCUGGUGUUACAGUGGCGUCGUGAUUAAAAUGGGGACAGAGUAGGGGCACCUGAGUGGCUCAGUCGAGUGUCUGACUUUGGCUCAGGUCAUGAUCUCACGGUUUGUGGGUUUGAGCCCUGCGUCGGGCUGUGUGCUGACGGCUCAGAGCCU